rnacentral:rRNA from 1 species
GACGAACGCUGGCGGCGUGCUUAACACAUGCAAGUCUAGGGGGCCCAGCAAUGGGUCACCGGCGAACGGGUGCGUAACACGUGAGCGACCUACCCUGGAAUGGGGGAUAGCCGGCCCAACGGCCGGGUAAUACCGCAUACGCUCUUCGAGCUUCCUGGCUUGGAGAGGAAACCUUUUGGGUUCCUGGAGGGGCUCGCGGCCUAUCAGCUAGUUGGCGAGGUAACGGCUCACCAAGGCGAUGACGGGUAGCUGGUCUGAGAGGAUGGCCAGCCACAUUGGGACUGAGAAACGGCCCAGACUCCUACGGGAGGCAGCAGUGGGGAAUCUUGCGCAAUGGUCGAAAGACUGACGCAGCGACGCCGCGUGGAGGAUGACGCCCUUCGGGGUGUAAACUCCUGUUGCCCGGGACGAACCUCCCUUUUCGAGGGGACUGACGGUACCGGGUGAGGAAGCACCGGCUAACUCUGUGCCAGCAGCCGCGGUAAUACAGAGGGUGCGAG